CAGGCCUAACACAUGCAAGUCGAACGGCAGCACGGUAGAGCUUGCUCUAUGGGUGGCGAGUGGCGGACGGGUGAGUAAGGCAUCGGGACCUACCCAGACGUGGGGGAUAACGUAGGGAAACUUACGCUAAUACCGCAUACGUCCUACGGGAGAAAGCGGGGGAUCGCAAGACCUCGCGCGGUUGGAUGGACCGAUGUGCGAUUAGCUAGUUGGUGAGGUAACGGCUCACCAAGGCGACGAUCGCUAGCUGGUCUGAGAGGAUGAUCAGCCACACUGGGACUGAGACACGGCCCAGACUCCUACGGGAGGCAGCAGUGGGGAAUAUUGGACAAUGGGCGCAAGCCUGAUCCAGCAAUGCCGCGUGUGUGAAGAAGGCCUUCGGGUUGUAAAGCACUUUUAUCAGGAGCGAAAUCUGCAGGGCUAAUACCCAUGCAGUCUGACGGUACCUGAGGAAUAAGCACCGGCUAACUCCGUGCCAGCAGCCGCGGUAAU
rnacentral:rRNA from 1 species